ACAUAUCAAUAAGCGGAGGAAAAGAAACCAACAGGGAUUGCCCUAGUAACGGCGAGUGAAGCGGCAACAGCUCAAAUUUGAAAUCUGGCUCUUUCAGAGUCCGAGUUGUAAUUUGCAGAGGGCGCUUUGGCUUUGGCAGCGGUCCAAGUUCCUUGGAACAGGACGUCACAGAGGGUGAGAAUCCCGUACGUGGUCGCUAGCUAUUGCCGUGUAAAGCCCCUUCGACGAGUCGAGUUGUUUGGGAAUGCAGCUCUAAAUGGGAGGUAAAUUUCUUCUAAAGCUAAAUAUUGGCCAGAGACCGAUAGCGCACAAGUAGAGUGAUCGAAAGAUGAAAAGCACUUUGGAAAGAGAGUCAAACAGCACGUGAAAUUGUUGAAAGGGAAGCGCUUGCAGCCAGACUUGCUUGCAGUUGCUCAUCCGGGCUUUUGCCCGGUGCACUCUUCUGUAGGCAGGCCAGCAUCAGUUUGGGCGGUGGGAUAAAGGUCUCUGUCACGUACCUCUCUUCGGGGAGGCCUUAUAGGGGAGACGACAUACCACCAGCCUAGACUGAGGUCCGCGCAUCUGCUAGGAUGCUGGCGUAAUGGCUGUAAGCGGCCCGUCUUGAAACACGGACCAAGGAGUCUAACAUCUAUGCGAGUGUUUGGGUGUCAAGCCCGAGCGCGUAAUGAAAGUGAACGGAGGUGGGAACCCGCAAGGGUGCACCAUCGACCGAUCCUGAAGUUUACGGAAGGAUUUGAGUAAGAGCAUGGCUGUUGGGACCCGAAAGAUGGUGAACUAUGCUUGAAUAGGGUGAAGCCAGAGGAAACUCUGGUGGAGGCUCGCAGCGGUUCUGACGUGCAAAUCGAUCGUCAAAUUUGGGCAUAGGGGCGAAAGACUAAUCGAACUAUCUAGUAGCUGGUUCCUGCGA
rnacentral:rRNA from 1 species